rnacentral:rRNA from 1 species
AGGACGAACGCUGGCGGCGUGCCUAACACAUGCAAGUGGAGCGACGAACCAGGCUUCGGCCUGGGGCAGAGCCGCGAACGGGUGAGUAACACGUGGGUAACCUGCCCUGAUGAUUGGGACAACCCGAGGAAACUCGGGCUAAUACCGAAUGUGCCCUCUGGCCUCAAGGCCUCUGGGGAAAGGAAGCUUCGGCCUCCGCAUCGGGAUGGGCCCGCGGCCCAUUAGCUUGUUGGUGAGGUAACGGCUCACCAAGGCAACGAUGGGUAGCUGGUCUGAGAGGACGAUCAGCCACACUGGGACUGAGACACGGCCCAGACUCCUACGGGAGGCAGCAGUGGGGAAUCUUGCGCAAUGCGCGAAAGCGUGACGCAGCAACGCCGCGUGGGGAAGACGGCCUUCGGUUGUAAACCCUUUCAGUUGGGACGAAGCUCCGCCGGUGAUAGCCGGCUGGAGUGACGGUACCUUCGAGAAGAAGCCCGGCUAACUACGUGCCAGCAGCCGCGGUAA